rnacentral:rRNA from 1 species
GACGAACGCUGGCGGCGUGCCUAAUACAUGCAAGUCGAGCGAACAGACGAGGAGCUUGCUCCUCUGACGUUAGCGGCGGACGGGAGAGUAACACGUGGAUACUCUACCUAUCUGACUGGGAUCAUUUCGGGAAUCCGGAGCUUAUACCGUAUAAUAUCUUGAACCGUAUGGUUCAAUAGUAAAAGUCGGUUUUGCUGUCUCUUCUCGCUGGUUAUCGGCCUCAUUAGCUAGUUGUUAAGGUAACGGCUUUCCAAGGCAACGAUGCGUAGACGACCUGAGAGGGUGAUAGGCCACACUGGAGCGGAGACGCGGACCAGACUCCUGAGGGACGCAGCAGUAGGGUAUCUUCCGCAGUGGGGGAAAGCAUGACGGAGCAGGGCCACGUGAGAGAUAGAGGUCUUGGGAUCGUAAAACUCUGUUAUGAGGGAAAAACAAAUGUGUAAUUAACUAUGCACGUCUUGACGGUAACUAAUAAGAAAGCAACGGCUAACUACGUG